UGAGGUGCCCGUACCGCAAACCGACACAGGUAGAUGAGGAGAGAAUCCUAAGGUGAGCGAGAGAACUCUCGUUAAGGAACUCGGCAAAAUGACCCCGUAACUUCGGGAGAAGGGGUGCUGACUUAGGUCAGCCGCAGUGAAUAGGCCCAAGCAACUGUUUAUCAAAAACACAGCUCUCUGCUAAAUCGUAAGAUGAUGUAUAGGGGGUGACGCCUGCCCGGUGCUGGAAGGUUAAGAGGAGGGUUUAGCGCAAGCGAAGAUCUGAAUUGAAGCCCCAGUAAACGGCGGCCGUAACUAUAACGGUCCUAAGGUAGCGAAAUUCCUUGUCGGGUAAGUUCCGACCCGCACGAAAGGCGUAA
rnacentral:ncRNA from 1 species